rnacentral:rRNA from 1 species
UAAUACGUAGGGUGCGAGCGUUAAUCGGAAUUACUGGGCGUAAAGGGUGCGUAGGCGGAUAUAUAAGUUAGAUGUGAAAAGCCCGGGCUUAACCUUGGUCGUGCAUUUAAGACUGUAUAUCUAGAGUUAGUUAGAGGGGGGUAGAAUUCCAAGUGUAGCAGUGAAAUGCGUAGAGAUUUGGAGGAAUACCGAUGGCGAAGGCAGCCCCCUGGGAUGUAACUGACGCUGAGGCACGAAAGCGUGGGUAGCAAACAGG